UACGAAGGGGGCUAGCGUUGCUCGGAAUCACUGGGCUUAAAGGGCUCGUAGGCGGUUUGUCGCGUCGGGAGUGAAAUCAUCUGGCUUAACUGGGUGCUUGCUUUCGAUACGGGCAGACUAGAGGUAUGCAGGGGAGAACGGAAUUCCUGGUGUAGCGGUGAAAUGCGUAGAUAUCAGGAGGAACGCCGGAGGCGAAAGCGAGUGACUGGCGCGUUCCUGACGCUGAGGUGCGAAAGCUAGGGGAGCAAACAGG
rnacentral:rRNA from 1 species